rnacentral:rRNA from 1 species
GACAGAGGAUGCAAGCGUUAUCCGGAAUGAUUGGGCGUAAAGCGUCUGUAGGUGGCUUUUCAAGUCCGCCGUCAAAUCCCAGGGCUCAACCCUGGACAGGCGGUGGAAACUACCAAGCUGGAGUACGGUAGGGGCAGAGGGAAUUUCCGGUGGAGCGGUGAAAUGCGUAGAGAUCAGGAAGAACACCGGUGGCGAAAGCGCUCUGCUAGGCCGCAACUGACACUCAUGGACGAAAGCUAGGGGAGCGAAUGGG